UGCAGUUAGAGAAACUUUAAGCUAACAGCAUGGAUUCUGACCAGACUGCGCAGAUGUGCAGGCUGGUCUGGAUCCAUGCUGGUCACAAACACACUAUGUUGGUUUUCUCAUGGCAUGGCUCAUUUUGUUCUAUUUCAACUUGUUUUUAGCAGUCACCUGCUGUAAGCUGUCAGAUUGUGUCAGUCCCUUGUCUGGCUGCUUUGUACAGGUUUUGCUGUAGCUGAAACAAAUAUAGGAUUUUAAGUCAUACACAUUUUUAACAGACAUUACUGAUAGGGAGCAAGCAUAUAUAAAAACUGUAUGGCAUUUAAGCACUUUGUUAUGAAAACAAAUGUUACUGAGUAAAUGAUCUUGUACUUCUAUAAGAUUUUUAUUCCGCUUUCUUAUUUAUCAGAUAUUAAUGUAAUUGUGCUGUAAAUUUUGGGUUCAGUAGAAAUUGGUCAUAUCAAAUCGGUUGUGGAAGAUGCUGGCUUUAGGUAUUUAUAAAAAUAUUGAUUGCAUGUAUGGUCAUGAUUCUGGUGUGAGAUGUUUGCAAAUGUAUUUGUCUUGAACAGUAACAUUUUAUUUUUCUGCAGUUACAGCUGUAAGCCUGUACUGUUGUGUUCGAACUUUGAUACGCCGGAAGUUAGGCUUAAUGUUUUUUAUGCGAAUAAUUUAGAAUAAAAGCUGGAUCACAUAUACAGGAACUUAAGACAUGCUACAAGUAAAUGACAAUACACAUGUAUGUGUUUUAGUUAAUGAACCUGGCAUAAUUAUUAUCACUCUAAAAUAAAAAUGGUUCCAUGUGAAAUAAUUCCAAGUAUUUUGACAUUAGCUUGAAGUUAGGGUUCUCUUAUAAUUCCAAGUAUUUUGACAUUAGCUUGAAGUUAGGGUUCUCUUAUAAUUCCAAGUAUUUUGACAUAAGCUUGAAGUUAGGGUUCUCUUAUAAUUCCAAGUAUUUUGACAUAAGCUUGAAGUUAGGGUUCUCUUAUAAUUCCAAGUAUUUUGACAUAAGCUUGAAGUUAGGGUUCUCUUAUAAUUCCAAGUAUUUUGACAUAAGUUUGAAGUUAGGGUUCUCUUUAAUCAUGAAUAAAUAUCUCAAAUGUAAACUUAUUUAUCUUUAAACAUGGGAGAAAAUAGGUAAAGUUUCAUUUGUGAGAAUUGUGAAUAAAACCUCGUUGUACAUUAUAGAUUUUUUUCUGUAUGUGAAUUUUUUUAUUUACUUCAGUAUAUACAGCAAUUUUGAAAAACCAAGGUUGAUUUAGUCAAACACGAUAUUGUAAAAUUUUAAAACUGAGUUUGGAGAUAAGUUUCUGAAGAUAAGCAUCUGAUUGGUUGAUUCUGAGCUUAGGUCUUGAAAUUGACCAAUGACAAGACUGCAUUCUAAUAUUUGUCACCUAAGUCAGUUUUAUAACUUUGGUAUCUUAAGGUAGUGAACCAGUAAUGAGACUUUUCAAUUUCCGUAGAUUACAUACUCUCAAUUAUGCAAUUUUGCAUUCCUAACCCUUACCCUGCUAAAUUUCUAUAAUGAACUUGUCCAUCUUUCAAUUUGGACAGUUCCAUUAACUGUUAAAAGGGGUACUUACCAAUACCAAAAGAGACGGCUGUGCAGGCUGAUCAUGAUCUACACUGGUCGCAAAGGCAGAAACAGUCAUGUCCAGCAUGAUAAGGGUUAAGACAUAAAUGUAGCAGAACGUGCACAUGGCCUCCGUAAAAAACGGAGCCUGUCGAAACCAAAUAUGUAGAAUAUGGAAUUUAAUGAUUGGCAUUACAGGUCCACUGCCUUAAACAACCUUUAGAUAUUUACAGAUAACACAACUAGAUGUCUUUCAUACUGUUAGGUACAUUCUAUUUUACGUGUGAUAGAAAUCAUGUUUUGAAUCUCUGUUUAUAAUUAUUGCAUAUGAAGUGCUGUGCACUGGAUUCCUGGUCUAAUUGGAUCUGUAAACUUUUGCAUUUUUGAAUUUGUUUUAUUGGAAGGUUAAAUAAAAUCAUUAUCGUUUUAUAGAAGUAAUGUUAAUGUGAUUUUAUCAUUUUAUAAGCGUAUAGAACUAUGUUAAUACUGUUGAUGUCAAUUUGAAAAUCAUGUUUGUAAGUAAAUAUAUUAUGUUAGUUCAAGUGACUUUUGCUCCUUCAGACUGUAUAUUUAGAAUAAUGUAUGUAGAGCUGUCUUCUUUGUUAGUCAAAUAGAUUCAUUCAGUCAAACCUGUGUUAAAGACCACCUCUGAACAGAGACCACCUGGCUCUAAAGACAACAUGUUUUGUUUCCCAUUUUAACACACUGUACUUUAACCUGUGAAUAAAGACCACCUCCCAUUAAAGACCACAUUUUGGCUCUCCCAGUGGUGGUCUUUAUAGACAGGUUUGACUGUACUUUAAUCCUAGGUCAAAGCAGAAUUUAAAGACCCUUUUUAAAUCAAUUUUUGUUAACAUCUACUAUAAUAUAAAGAGAAUGUAUCAUAGGUGUUAGAAUUUGAGAAAUAUCCAAAAAUAUUGAGCCCCACUGUGGUCACGACCAUGCCCCAUAUGACACCAGAACUGGUUUUUCAGGAAGCAGACUCGAGAGCGAUAGUUUUCAUCAAUUGGGCUUUAAAGAAUAAGUAUAAACCAAAACUGUCAUGCUUGUUUAAAUUGUGUAAUGCUAAGAGGUCUUCAAAAAUUAUGGCCAGUGUUUGCUUAUUUUAUAAUCACCAGUUUAGGUAUUCACACAUUUUUAUGCUAUUUUAGUGAGAUGCUUGUAGAUUCUCAACAGAGCGCUAUUUGCAGAGGGUGAACUUUUGUGACCAUAUACCAUCCAGUAUCCAUCUAUUGAUUGCUCACAAUUCCUUCAAAUGACAUCUUCUCUUAAACAGUUUAGUCAACAGUUGUUUAAGCUUGGCUUGGAUGUUUAGAUUGUACUCUUCCAAUUUGUUCAAACAGCUGCAUGUGGCUGCACGUAGGAGCUAAAAAUUGAAACAAUUUUUGUUGAUUUCAGUUCUUAAAUAACUUUACAGAAAUGUUCCCAAGGUGACCCUUUACCAAACAUGUUCAAGUUAUCUUGAUUUGAAAAAGAAUGCCCACACCCUCCUUGCCCACCAGGGGUGUGUGGGCAGGGGUGGGAGGGGCUAGUUUUUACUGUAUGGCAAUAUGGGCAAUGUUGAAAAUCUUUUUUUUUUGCAUCAGCAGAUCCAAAUUCAAAACAAUUUUGGCAGAGGUGUUCCUUUUUUAUGUGAUUACUCAUUAAGCCAGUUGCCUAAAUAACUGGUCUACAACACUAGUCGCUAGUGAAGCGUUUGUCUUGCUUAAAAGCUUACCCUGUACACUUGUCCAACACCUUAAUUGCUGGUAUACAACUAUAGUGCCCACUUUCUUGCCUUAGCUUGCGCUGUAUAUGUAGGUUUGGUGAGUUUGCUUUGCUUUUGGUUAUGUAUAUGAUUACAUUUAUUGUUGCUGAUAUAUCAUUUAAUAAUUUUUGUACUCUUUCUUUUUAAUAGAUGCAUUUAUGUGAUACGAAUAAAUAUUAAUUAUGUUUUGGAAUA
rnacentral:lncRNA from 1 species